rnacentral:rRNA from 1 species
GGUAACACCCGUUCCCAUGCCGAACACGAUGGUUAAGCUUCUAAGCGCCGAUGGUACUGCAAGGGCGACCUUGUGGGAGAGUAGGACG